rnacentral:rRNA from 1 species
UACGUAGGGACCAAGCGUUGUUCGGAUUUACUGGGCGUAAAGGGCGCGUAGGCGGCUUAACAAGUCACUUGUGAAAUCUCCGGGCUUAACUCGGAACGGCCAAGUGAAACUGUCAAGCUAGAGUGCAGAAGGGGCAAUCAGAAUUCUUGGUGUAGCGGUGAAAUGCGUAGAUAUCAAGAGGAACACCUGAGGUGAAGACGGGUUGCUGGGCUGACACUGACGCUGAGGCGCGAAAGCCAGGGGAGCAAACGGG